rnacentral:rRNA from 1 species
AGCUCCAAUAGCGUAUAUUAAAGUUGUUGCAGUUAAAAAGUUCGUAGUUGAAUUUCUGUUUGUAUUAUAUGGUCUGCCUUUUGGUGUGUACCAUGGUAAUACGAGCAUAUUCCUGAUUGUUGCCUGUUUACUUAAUUGUAAGCAGUGUAGCGUUAGGACAAUUACUUUGAGAAAAUUAGAGUGUUUAAAGCAGGCGUAGGCCUUGAAUACUACAGCAUGGAAUAAUAAAAUAGGACUUUGGUUCUAUUUUGUUGGUUUCUAGAACUAAAGUAAUGAUUAAUAGGGACAGUUGGGGGCGUCCGUACUCCGUUGUCAGAGGUGAAAUUCUUAAAUUUGCGGAUGACGAACUACUGCGAAAGCAUUCGCCAAGGAUGUUUUCAUUAAUCAAGAACGAAAGUAG